rnacentral:ncRNA from 1 species
ACAGGUGGUGCAUGGUUGUCGUCAGCUCGUGUCGUGAGAUGUUGGGUUAAGUCCCGCAACGAGCGCAACCCUCGUUCCAUGUUGCCAGCACGUGAUGGUGGGGACUCAUGGGAGACUGCCGGGGUCAACUCGGAGGAAGGUGGGGAUGACGUCAAAUCAUCAUGCCCCUUAUGUCUUGGGCUUCACGCAUGCUACAAUGGCCGGUACAAAGGGUUGCGAUGCUGUGACCCGGAGCGAAUCCCUUAAAGCCGGUCUCAGUUCGGAUCGUAGUCUGCAACUCGACUACGUGAAGUCGGAGUCGCUAGUAAUCGCAGAUCAGCAACGCUGCGGUGAAUACGUUCCCGGGCCUUGUACACACCGCCCGUCAAGUCACGAAAGUCGGUAACACCCGAAGCCGGUGGCCCAACCCUUGUGGAGGGAGCCGUCGAAGGUGGGACUGGCGAUUGGGACUAAGUCGUAACAAGGUAGCCGUACCGGAAGGUGCGGCUGGAUCACCUCCUUU